UACGUAGGGGGCAAGCGUUGUCCGGAAUCAUUGGGCGUAAAGCGCGUGUAGGCGGUUCGGUAAGUCUGCUGUGAAAGUCCAGGGCUCAACCCUGGGAUGCCGGUGGAUACUGUCGGACUAGAGUACGGAAGAGGCGAGUGGAAUUCCCGGUGUAGCGGUGAAAUGCGUAGAGAUCGGGAAGAACAUCAGUGGCGAAGGCGGUCUGCUGGGCCGUUGCUGACGCUGAGGCGCGACAGCGUGGGGAGCAAACAGG
rnacentral:rRNA from 1 species